UUCUUUUGUGUAUUUGCCAGCAUCUGCAGUUCCCUGCAUUUAUAAACUCAAAAUCUGUUCCCUUUCAUCCCCAAGCAUUGGAUUCUUUAUAGAAAACAUUGUUAUUCCCUUUCAACAUGGCCAAAAUAGCCUAAGUGUGUAAGUG